AUGUAUGAAAACAAAGUAUGGACUUUGACAGACUUGCCCGAUGAUCGGCGAGCGAUAGAAAAUAAAUGGAUCUUUAAGAAGAAGACGGACGCGGGUGGUAAUGUUACCAUCUAUAAAGCUCGACUUGUCGCUAAGGGUUAUCGACAAGUUCAAGGGGUUGACUACGAUGAGACCUUCUCACCCGUAGCGAAGCUUAAGUCCGUCCGAAUCAUGUUAGCAAUUGCCGCAUUCUACGAUUAUGAGAUAUGGCAAAUGGACGUCAAAACGGCAUUCCUUAACGGCUUUCUUAAGGAAGAAUUGUAUAUGAUGCAGCCGGAAGGUUUUGUCGAUCCUAAGAAUGCUAACAAGGUAUGCAAGCUCCAGCUCUCCAUCUAUGGGCUGGUGCAAGCAUCUCGGAGUUGGAAC
rnacentral:rRNA from 1 species